AAUUAGGGUGAUGAUCUGUGAGAGGAUGGCCUAGAAGGAAUCUCUAAGACCCCCAAAGAUAGUUGGAGUCUGUAGAGCAUUUAUCACAGGACCAGACCUUUUAUCUGCACAGAAGCCUGAAGUUGUAGGAGAUGCUCCGUACACAGCUGUUAGGAAGACCAGAAUGUCAGGCUUCACAUUCCCUGUGCAUGGAUCAAGAACGGGCAGAACAGUCCGCACACCACAGGAGGGAUAUGAAUGCCUGAGCUGUCUCAGUUUCUGAAGAGGAGAUAUCCUUUUGCUGCCCCAGCCAAAAGAGGCAGAAGGAGACCCCUGCGGUGUGCACAUCACUUGUGCUUCUUGGGAUUCCUGAAACACUGAUCUUCUCUGAAGAGUAGCCUUCCCUGAGGACUGUCAGGCAAGACAGACCUAUUAAUAAGUGCAAACCACACAGAGGUCUUGACAUAGAAGCUCUUGCUGAAGCGUAAAAUGGCCCCAUCGUUCACUUAUUUUACAAAACCAAGAGCUAUUUUGGGGAUUUGCUGAUUCGGAACAAGCUGGUUCAGAAUUUCAUGCCGUUUAUAACAAAAGUGCUAGAGAAAUUAGGAUGACCUCAGGAUCUUUUAAUAAAGUCCAAAACACAGCUUGCACUUGGAAUGUAUGUUCAGCACGACUCUUGUACAAUUGCCAAGGAUCUCAGAUAGGAACGCGAGACUCCUCAUAAGUAGCUGAUUUUUGAGUCAAUGGGCUGUAACACUUUUGAAAUCAAUGAUUAUUUAAGGACUCCUAAAACAGCACGUUGUUCAGCGGCUGUGCACACAAACACUGGAUCUAUUCUAUUCCCUGCUGGCUCUCAGCAAAUGGAUAAUUUGGAUCUGAGUUCUGAAGGCUGAAUAUGGAUUGUAACUCUCAUUUCUUAAGCAGGCCAGUAAAACAUUCACCACACAGCUUUGGAGUUCUGUAUGACUUCAGCAGGAGCUGAAAAUGCUCAGCACUUUUCAGGGUUGGUUCCAGGAUGCCCAUGGAUUUUCGUGAACAUGUAAUUUGUGACCAUAAAGAAAUUUGGGAUG
rnacentral:lncRNA from 7 species